AAAGUGCUCAAUUAGUGGCAGUCGCAGUUUUGCAACAGCAUUGAAAAAUGUCCACUGCCGUGGGUACCAUUGUUGGACCAGGUGGAAUAGAAUCCAUUAUACACCACCCAUCCUUGAUAUUGAGCCUCCCGUUUAAAAUCGUGGCUGCUUUAGGAGGCGUUGGCGCUAUAAGAAUGGGGCUAGUGCAAUUUCCCAAAUUUAUCGCCAACAUUGCGGGCAAAGUGCUAACAUUUCUGGUCACAACGCCCAUACAAAUUGCGGAAAUUCCGCUGAAUUUUAUAAAAGGACAGAAUCUUACCAAUUAAAUCAGUCUUGAGCACCUGCAUGGCAUA
rnacentral:lncRNA from 1 species